GAUGAACGCUAGCUGCAGGCUUAACACAUGCAAGUCGAGGGGAAACGCCAUCGAAAGCUUGCUUUUGAUUGGCGUCGACCGGCGCACGGGUGAGUAACGCGUAUCCCACCUGCCCAUCACUUGGGGAUAACCUUGCGAAAGUAAGACUAAUUCCCAUUUUUAUCCCUAGAAGUCAUCUGAAAGAGACUAAAUUUUUAUCGGUGAUGGAUGGGGCUGCGUCUGAUUAGCUUGUUGGCGGGGUAACGGCCUACCAAGGCAACGAUCAGUAGCGGUUCUGAGAGGAAGGUCCACCAGAUUGGAACCGAGACACAGACCAAACUGCGAGGGGAGGGAGGGGUAAGGAACAUAGGGGAAUGGAGGAGGACGGAGACAAGCCAAGUAGGGUACAAGAAGACGGGGAUAUGGGUUGUAAACUGCUAGUAAAAAAGAAAAGAGUGAGAAUCGGGACACAUUUUGAAUGUACCUAAUGAAAAAGGACCGGCUAAUUACGUG
rnacentral:rRNA from 1 species